rnacentral:rRNA from 1 species
AAGGGAGCGUAGGCGGCGUGGCAAGUCUGAUGUGAAAACUUGGGGCUCAACCCCAAGAUUGCAUUGGAAACUGUCAUGCUAGAGUGUCGGAGAGGUAAGCGGAAUUCCUAGUGUAGCGGUGAAAUGCGUAGAUAUUAGGAGGAACAUCGGUGGCGAAGGCGGCUUACUGGACGAAAACUGACGCUGAGGCUCGAAAGCGUGGGGAGCAAACAGGAUUAGAUACCCUGGUAGUCCACGCGGUAAAC